rnacentral:misc_RNA from 1 species
AAAAGUGGUAUUCCAUUUCCGGCGAUCGCAUAAUCGGUGCUCGGUCGUUUUUAAUGGUUUGAAAACGUUUUGGGUGAGGCUCUGUAUGAAAUAUAUAGAUAACAGAGAAACACCAUGGCACCUAACAAUCCACUCCCAAACUGGGGGAAUGAGAAAACGAUGAACAUGAAUCCAUUGAUAUUGACAAAUAUUCAGGCAUCACCAUACUUCAAAGUCAAUUUGUAUGAGUUAAAAACCUACCAUGAGGUUAUUGAUGAAAUAUACUACAAGGUUGACCAUUUAGAACCAUGGGAAAAGGGAAGCAGAAAAACUGCAGGACAAACAGGAAUGUGUGGAGGGGUAAGAGGAGUGGGUGCGGGUGGAAUAGUCUCCAGUGCAUACUGUUUACUGUACAAGCUGUAUACGCUGAAAUUAACACGUAAACAGCUGAUGGGAUUGAUCACACACAAGGAUUCCCCUUACAUCAGAGGACUGGGAUUCAUGUACAUCAGAUAUUGUCAGGACCCCAAGGAUAUGUGGGACUGGUACGAGCCGUACCUGGAUGAUGAGGAGGGUGUUAGCUCUAGUCUCUGUGGGGUACAGGCCGAUCCUUGUCUACAGCUGGUCCUGAAGAGGAAAUAGAUGUGAAGGCGGGAGGAGGACACAAGAUGACCAUGGGGGAGGUGCUCCGUCAGUGGAUGGUCAAAUUGGAGUGGUACUCUACCUUGUUUCCCAGGAUCCCUGUACCCAUCCAGAAGGACCUCAUGCAGAAGCUGAAGGAGAGGCCCCCUCAGGCCCCGGGGUACCAGGAGGAAGAAGAGGAGGAGGAGGAACCUGAGCCCGAGCCCGAGAGGGAGGAGCCGAGGAGACCCAGACACAUCCCUGAUGGAGAGGUGUCAUUCGGUGAAGCCGAGAGAAGUGUCCAACACAGAAGAUCUCCAGAAUACAGACGUUCACAAAAUCGAUCAUCACCAAGGCGAAGAUCAAGAUCUCCAAGAAGACGAAGGUCCAGAUCACCGAGGAGAUCUCCAGGGAGAGAAAGGGCAAGGUCACCGUACAGAAGAAGGAGUCCACACAGACACUCCCCCUCCAGGAGACGAUCCCGGUCCCCAAGGAAUGAUUUUGCUCGGGAGCUGGAAAGAGAGCGCAGGAGACAGGAAAGAGCCAAAAGAGGUGACCGCUCCAGAAGUAGAGAAAAGCAAAUGGGUCAUAGGUCAAGGAGCAAAGAGAGGUCGCGAAAACGGUCAAGGUCACGAAGCAGAGACAAGCCAAGACAAAGAUCUCGUUCAAGGAGCAAAGAACAGUCAACACAUUCAGGGUCAAAGUCACAUCGUUCAAGGUCGGGGUCACAGGAACCAAAGAGGAAGAAGGAAAAAAAGCAUAAACAUAAGUCAAGGUCGCAGGAACGAAACUCUAAGCAUAAAUCACACUCCAAACAUAACCGAGAUGUUGAACAGCUCUCCCCAGCUAGAGAGGAAGAACAUGCAAAAAAUGCUUCUUGAUCUAACUAAUGGUUUAGUGCAAGAGUCUGCCUUUGAAUCAUCAACGUUAUUCAUGUUCAUUUACAUUUUUUGUGAUUUUUUACAUGAAAAGGAAACAAUGGGAUCAAACACUUUUUAAUAUUAUUUGGUGUUUAGCACCUUUGGUAUUUGUCUCUUUUCAAAACAGAAUACUGAGGUGUAGUAAUUUUAAUUUGUUUUUAUUCAAUCAAACAAUUGAGAGCUCACAAUGUACAUGUAUGUAAACUGCGCUACAAAUAGAAAAUCGAAUUGCGAUUGGUAAACUGCAAUAACAUAUGAUAUUGAAUGUCGCAUAUUCAUUAUUUUCAUUUUGAUCCAUCAUCAUAGGUGCAACAAAUGAGUCAUAUAUAUAGUGUUAUGCAUUGUCUAGUUGUAUUUUACUUAAAUGCCAUGAACCUCAUUUUCCAUCUUUCGAUUGUGAAACAGUUUUUAGCCGUCAUAUAUUUUAUAAUAAAAGAUUUCCAUAAAAA